rnacentral:rRNA from 1 species
GACGAACGCUGGCGGCGUGCCUAACACAUGCAAGUCGAGCGAAGUUUUUUAAAGUGGAUCCCUUCGGGGUGAAACUUUAAUUAUCUUAGCGGCGGACGGGUGAGUAACGCGUGAGAAACCUGCCUUUCACAAAGGAAUAGCCUCGGGAAACUGGGAAUAAUACCUUAUGAUACAUCUACUUCACAUGAAGAAGAUGUUAAAGCGUAAAGCGGUGAAAGAUGGUCUUGCGUCCCAUUAGCUAGUUGGUGAGGUAAUAGCUCACCAAGGCGACGAUGGGUAGCCGGCCUGAGAGGGUGAACGGCCACAAGGGGACUGAGACACGGCCCUU